rnacentral:rRNA from 1 species
CCCGGUUGUUAAAGCGAGGUGGAACCACUCUUUCCAUUCCGAACAGGAUAGUUAAACGCCUCAGCGGGGACGAUAGUCUGGCUUCUCAGCCACGCGAAAAUACCUCACAGCCGGGG